AUACAGAGGGUGCAAGCGUUAAUCGGAUUUACUGGGCGUAAAGCGCGCGUAGGUGGCUAAUUAAGUCAAAUGUGAAAUCCCCGAGCUUAACUUGGGAAUUGCAUUCGAUACUGGUUAGCUAGAGUAUGGGAGAGGAUGGUAGAAUUCCAGGUGUAGCGGUGAAAUGCGUAGAGAUCUGGAGGAAUACCGAUGGCGAAGGCAGCCAUCUGGCCUAAUACUGACACUGAGGUGCGAAAGCAUGGGGAGCAAACAGGAUUAGAUACCCUGGUAGUCCAUGCCGUAAACGAUGUCUACUAGCCGUUGGGGCCCUUGAGGCUUUAGUGGCGCAGCUAACGCGAUAAGUAGACCGCCUGGGGAGUACGGUCGCAAGACUAAAACUCAAAGGAAUUGACGGGG
rnacentral:rRNA from 1 species